AUGGGUCGCGUCCGCACCAAGACCGUGAAGAAGACCUCCCGCCAGGUCAUCGAGAAGUACUACUCUCGGAUGACCCUCGACUUCCACACCAACAAGAAGGUGCUAGAGGAGGUCUCCAUCCUCCAGUCGAAGCGCCUCCGCAACAAGGUGGCCGGCUUCACCACCCAUCUGAUGCGCCGCAUCCAGCGCGGCCCCGUGCGCGGCAUCUCCCUCAAGCUGCAGGAGGAGGAGCGUGAGCGCCGCAUGGACUUCGUGCCGGAGAAGUCGGCGCUCGAGGUCGACGAGAUCCGCGUCGACAAGGAGACCAUGGACAUGCUGGCGUUCCUCGGCAUGGCUGACCUCCCCGGCGUCGAGCGCGCCCCCGAAACCACCUCUGCCGCCGCCCCCUACCGCCAGCCCUUCAACGGACCCCGCGGUGGCAACCGCGCCUAG
rnacentral:rRNA from 1 species